AUUACAUUCCUAAUGUGUUAAUUAACACUGUUUAUUUAAGGAUAUUUAGCAAAAUAUACUAAAACUACUUGAUUUUUGUAUAUUGGCAGGUCACCAUUUUCUAUAGUGCCGAGCUACCAUAAUUUAAUGCUUUUUAUGGCCCACUUAAGCAUGAAGCAUCCAAAUUCUGUCUAAGAAUAACAGAUCUGCAGAACAACAUAAUAUCAAACCAAAGGCCAGAGUUUCAGAGCAGACUGGAUUUCAGUGUGAUAUGGAUUUAUUGACUUUGCAGUGGUUUCAGCAAAGCUGCGAGGAAGUUGGUCCUUUUGUUCCACUAUUUAUAGAUUGCGUCAACAUUGCGAAAAGGAGAAGGCGGAGCAGUGGCCCUUACUCCUCCGAGGCAGCGAGCGAGCGAGCAGCCCAGCACACACACGCGACCUUAAGUACACAACACAGCAACCUCCUCCUCCUCCGCCACCCCAUUGAGGAGCGCCGGAGAUCGGAUUCAAUCACGUGUCCGGGGAGAACCAGCCUGCCCAGUGCCUGCAGAGCGCUGCCUUGCCAUGCACGGUGGCGGCAGAGAGGAGCUGUUCUCCCGCGCGCAGAGGCCGGGGCUCGCUUCCAGCCUGCGCGCUCCCCCCGCAGGGAAAGUGGCUCUGCCGGGGAGCCUACCCCCCCCGCGGGCGGUCACAAGUGCCCGUGGCAAUGCCCGCUGCCGUGCAGUGCUCCCCUCCAUCGCCUCGCCUGCUCAGAUCUGCGAAUGCACAUAUUGCCAAGCUCGGAGGCGGUAGAGAGCGAGCUCGUUACAGCCCUGCCCUUGCAAAGUCUCUAGCAGAGGAAGGGCCGGGGGGGGGAAGAGGGAGGGAGCAGCUUUGCUACGGGGCAGACCCAAGGCUCUUUCUCCUCUCUGCAGGUGCACAGGGACUCUGGGACAGGUCCCUUCCCUUGCUGGCUCCUAGGGGGCGAGGACAGGUGAUGGAGGGGUUAAUGGGAAUGUGCUUACCCCGAAAAAAAUGUGUAGCCCUUGCAGGAAAAGCUGGUCGUGAAGUUCUAAGGCUCCUCCGCCAUCCAAGAAGUGAAACUGCACUUUUCUGGCCUAAGGCCAGGGGCUCUGAACUGCGUGUAAACAAAGAGCCCUGCAAGCCCGAGCCGAGGGCCUGCUCGCGCCCGGCUGCCGGAGCCUAGUCCCUAGGGCCGACCGCAUACUCCGCUCCCGGAGCCGGCCGGCCUCUCUGCUCCGCACCGGUUCACCAGGGCUUGCCACGCGCCAGCUCUCCAGGGACACAGCCUCGUCCACCGCCGGAUCGACGUCGUUCGCAGGCUCGAAGCGGAGGCGGCUUUGGAGAGUUUCUGGGCUCGCGAUCGCCCGUCCAGGAGGCGCCGAGCUCUCGUGGCUCCGCUUGCCCGCGGGUGUGUGAGCUGUGCCGAGGGAAGCCGGGCACCGGACUCGUCUCAACCUGCCUCGGCUCCCACCUCGGGUCUGCGAGGGACUGCCGCUGCCUCCGGAUUACCUAUGUGGAGCCGCCGCGAGCCUCCUGCAGGACUGUCCGCUCCGGGAGAGGACUCUUUCUUUGCUCUCGCUGCAAGCUGAUCUCGAGGCGGCCUUGAUGCGAGCAGCCUCGAAGGCGAGAAGCGAGACGGAGCUCGCUGCCUUGCUUGCUCUCAGCAGAGGUGCGGAGCGGCGGUGCAGCGGGGAAGUGUUUCCCCUCACUGUCAUGCACUAGGUGGGCGGCUGAGUUCUUCCCCGGUGCUGCUAUUACUUGCAACGGGUUUCUUUCCUAGUAUUCUUUCCUUAAGGAAAAAAAUGUCCCGAUUCCCUUGGAAAUCUCCCCCUUGCCGGGCGCGGAGCGGCCGAGGGAAUCCACUGCGGCUCCCAGGUAAGGAGCUCCAGAAGAGGGCACAGCACCCCCGGGGCACUGCUCAUUCUUUCCCCUUUCACUGUGCCCCGAGGCUGCUGCCUUUGAUUGCUGCUCCUUACCCCCUUCGCGCUUCGAGCCCCAUCUCCUUCCCCAUCUCCGCUCUUUCGGCAGCAUCUGCUUAUUUGCUCACCCUCGCUGAACUUUUCAUUGGCACUAGGACCCAUUGUUGGUGUUAUUAUUAUUAUUAGUAGUAGUAGUUGCAUUGCUGGGUUAUGGUUUAAAAAAGUAAAAUAACGAAAACAAGCCAGUCUGAGCGCAGACAACACUCAGUGUUACUCAACAGGUUUCGGGAGCUCAAGUGAAAGCGGCUUCCAAAGGUGAUCUCUGUCCGGCUUUCUGGCUAGCAGAUAUGAUUGAUUCGUCUCACGAAACCUUCCCUGUUGCUGCUAAAGAAGAAAACCCAAGAACACGGAUGAAUAAGUUUUCCGGGGGAGAGUUCACAACGGGCUGGACGGAAGCUAGACCUUUCACUUACUUUUUCCCUUGAAAACCCAGGAGAUUAAACGACUGCGAUGCACUGGUGCAAACUGUUCAAAUACGCUUUUCGGACAAAUGUGUCGUUACGAUGGACAUGGGCAAAGGAGGAGAAAAGCAAGGAGGCUGAACGAGUGAGUAGAAAAAAAAGAAUAGAAAAGCUGACAUGCAGACUCCAAAAACUGCCUGUUUAGCCGCAGUGUCAUUUCUGAAACUGGGCUGGACCUGCAGCACAAAGCCCCGGCGUUUACAGCUGCUGCUGCAGCCCUUUGGUAGCCUCCAAAGAAAAGCUGAAUUAUUGCAACUGUAGGUAACUUUAGGAAACUCGUUGUGACCUACAUUGCUUUUCUGAGUCAGCAAUGAGCAGCCAUAGCAGACUUGUCCCCCCCCUCCAAUUCUGACGGUGAACUACGGAUCUUUUAGGGUGGAGCCGUCUUUGCGACCGUUUGCUCCGAGCACUACAUGCCAUAGUUGCUACUCCCCUGUUCACAAAUAAACCAGAGUUAGAUGGAGCCCGCUUCCCGCCU
ensembl:lncRNA